GAUGAACGCUGGCGGCGUGCCUAAUACAUGCAAGUCGAGCGUACAGACGAGGAGCUUGCUCCUCUGACGUUGGCGGCGGACGGGUGAGUAACACGUGGAUAACCUACCUAUAAGACUGGGAUAACUUCGGGAAACCGGAGCUAAUACCGGAUAAUAUAUUGAACCGCAUGGUUCAAUAGUGAAAGACGGUUUUGCUGUCACUUAUAGAUGGAUCCGCGCCGCAUUAGCUAGUUGGUAAGGUAACGGCUUACCAAGGCGACGAUGCGUAGCCGACCUGAGAGGGUGAUCGGCCACACUGGAACUGAGACACGGUCCAGACUCCUACGGGAGGCAGCAGUAGGGAAUCUUCCGCAAUGGGCGAAAGCCUGACGGAGCAACGCCGCGUGAGUGAUGAAGGUCUUCGGAUCGUAAAACUCUGUUAUUAGGGAAGAACAAAUGUGUAAGUAACUAUGCACGUCUUGACGGUACCUAAUCAGAAAGCCACGGCUAACUACGUG
rnacentral:rRNA from 1 species